CUGCUGAAAUCUUAGGUAAAUCCGGGGUUUCAAGGCCGAGAGCUGAUGACGAGUCGUCUUUUAGAUGACGAAGUGGUUGAUGCCAUGCUUCCAAGAAAAGCUUCUAAGCUUCAGGUAACCAGGAACCGUACCCCAAACCGACACAGGUGGUCGGGUAGAGAAUACCAAGGCGCUUGAGAGAACUCGGGUGAAGGAACUAGGCAAAAUGGCACCGUAACUUCGGGAGAAGGUGCGCCGGCUAGGGUGAAGGAUUUACUCCGUAAGCUCUGGCUGGUCGAAGAUACCAGGCCGCUGCGACUGUUUAUUAAAAACACAGCACUCUGCAAACACGAAAGUGGACGUAUAGGGUGUGACGCCUGCCCGGUGCCGGAAGGUUAAUUGAUGGGGUUAGCGCAAGCGAAGCUCUUGAUCGAAGCCCCGGUAAACGGCGGCCGUAACGAUAACGGUCCUAAGGUAGCGAAAUUCCUUGUCGGGUAAGUUCCGACCUGCACGAAUGGCGUAACGAUGGCGGCGCUGUCUCCACCCGAGACUCAGUGAAAUUGAAAUCGCUGUGAAGAUGCAGUGUAUCCGCGGCUAGACGGAAAGACCCCGUGAACCUUUACUGUAGCUUUGCACUGGACUUUGAGCCUGCUUGUGUAGGAUAGGUGGGAGGCUUUGAAGCGUGGACGCCAGUUCGCGUGGAGCCAUCCUUGAAAUACCACCCUGGCAUGCUUGAGGUUCUAACUCUGGUCCGUAAUCCGGAUCGAGGACAGUGUAUGGUGGGCAGUUUGACUGGGGCGGUCUCCUCCUAAAGAGUAACGGAGGAGUACGAAGGUGCGCUCAGACCGGUCGGAAAUCGGUCGCAGAGUAUAAAGGCAAAAGCGCGCUUGACUGCGAGACAGACACGUCGAGCAGGUACGAAAGUAGGUCUUAGUGAUCCGGUGGUUCUGUAUGGAAGGGCCAUCGCUCAACGGAUAAAAGGUACUCCGGGGAUAACAGGCUGAUACCGCCCAAGAGUUCAUAUCGACGGCGGUGUUUGGCACCUCGAUGUCGGCUCAUCACAUCCUGGGGCUGAAGCCGGUCCCAAGGGUAUGGCUGUUCGCCAUUUAAAGUGGUACGCGAGCUGGGUUUAGAACGUCGUGAGACAGUUCGGUCCCUAUCUGCCGUGGACGUUUGAGAUUUGAGAGGGGCUGCUCCUAGUACGAGAGGACCGGAGUGGACGAACCUCUGGUGUUCCGGUUGUCACGCCAGUGGCAUUGCCGGGUAGCUAUGUUCGGAAAAGAUAACCGCUGAAAGCAUCUAAGCGGGAAACUUGCCUCAAGAUGAGAUCUCACUGGGAACUUGAUUCCCCUGAAGGGCCGUCGAAGACUACGACGUUGAUAGGCUGGGUGUGUAAGCGUUGUGAGGCGUUGAGCUAACCAGUACUAAUUGCCCGUGAGGCUUGAUC
rnacentral:rRNA from 1 species